UCUCCCUUCUAAUUCUCACGCGACCCACGCAGACCAGUUUCUCCUCAGUCUCGAGCCAACGCUCACGCGACCCACGCGAGCCCCCGGCGGCGGCGGAGGUACUACUCCUGCCCGUCUCCUCCUUCUCCAGCGGCCCCUUCACGCCCCGCCUCCCUCCCCUCUCACCCCUCUUCCUCGAUCUCCGCCGGUCACCUGCAGACCGUGGGCUUAGGCGGAGGCGACCCGGCGACUGGCUCAGGCGGCGGCAGUCUCCAGCAGCACACGUGGGCAAGAACAGCAAGACGAUUGGCGAUUUCCACCCUAUCUGCGAUUUCCCUUCAGAACUAGAGGUAAAAAUUGUUGGAUUACAGCAAAGCAUCGUGCUGCCUGAUUCUGGGCUGGGUGAUGCCAGUAUGGGGAGAACAUUGAAGGCAGUGAGCUGAUGGUGAUUCUGAUAUUUUAGAAAAGGGGAAAAGAUUUUUCAUGCUGAUGACGCUGUAUAGGAAUUUAGCUUACUUUAGGAGUUGCAUAUAUGAAGGUUUUAGUUUACUUUCUACAGAUGGAAACAGCUUUGCUACAAGCAUCUACUUUAGGAGUUGCAAGAGAGGAGCACACGGUUCAUCAUUGUAUUCUGUUUCAAAGGGUUAAUUUCUUCCUAGAGACUGUUUGGUCUUCUUUUGUGGUUCUUCUGUGUUGAUGCUCGUCGGCAGAGGAACAUAAUGUGGGUGGGAUCAUAGAGAUCUCCAAACCCUCCAUCUGUAAUUUUAUUCUAUCUGAAUGCAAAGCUAUAUGUAUUACCUCAUAUCUAGCGCCUGUUCUUUGGCUGUUGUAUUUAUUAUUUGAAUAAUCGGCGACAUGCUGUCCUGGAUGUAAUGAAUAAAUAAGCAAUCUAGACCUAGUUUCAGAUUUGUGUGUAACUCCAUUCCAGAUUCAUUUUCUUUGCACCUGUGAACAGAAUAAUUUCAAUGCAUCACUUUGGCCAUCCAAACAGGAUUUGGUAUUCAACAUCAAUAUCAAAGUCUGGGUUCCGAAUAUCAAAACAUCCAAACAGAUAUAUUGGCAUUCGAUCUCAAUAUCAAUAUCCUAUGGAAUUGGCAUUGGAACCAAUUCAAUGCCAGACUUCUCAAUGUCUACAUCCAAACAUUUGGGAUAUUUAAAUUAAUGAAAACCACGAGAAAACACCUCAACAAAAAGUUAUACUCAUUAUUAAUUUAAACUUUUUUCAUUUCAUCAUUGUUCCCGCUAAUCCCUCCGAUUCAUAAUAAGUUUUUCAGAUUAUAUAGUAAUACAAAAUUGUAUUAAAUCUGAGACACUUAUUGUGGAUCAGAAAGAGUACUAAUUUUAAAUUCGAGGACAAUUCUCCGUGGAUCGAGCUAACCUCGUGCACUAAAUUAAAGGUAGAGAGAAGUAAGAUCGAACCAAAGAACUAUUUGCAAACAUUGCCGCCAGACCGGACAUAAACGAGCGUUACAAUCCUCAGAAAAAAAUAAAAAUAACCUAAAUGAUUAAAAGUGCUUAUGCACUUUUUGGACGGGAUGGACGCGCUGGCUUCAUCACCGUCCGUUCACCCGUGGAGCAGGAAAACCGUCCGAUGCUUUUAGGACAGCCCAGCUUCGUGUUUUACCUAGUCCACGACUCCACGUCUCCUGAGAUGGGUCCCACACGUCCUUUCCUUUCCAACCAACCCGCAGCCGUUCCUAUCCCCUGGUCAUUUCUCCCCUGAACUCUCAGCCUAUCUCCUCUCCUUGCUGGCGAUUUCUGUUUUGGCGCUGUGAUUCUCGGUGGUGCGGCCGUGCGGGUCGACGGAGAAGAGAAGCGCGACAAAGGGGGCGUGGUCUACGCGGGUGGGGAGGCCGAGCUCACCCUCGAUUUCUCGUCGCGGCUUCGAACAUCCACCGACGAGUCAAGACGAGGGUCGCGGUCGGUCUGCGGUGACGGGGAAUCUGCAUGUCGCGCGGCGCGGUGGUGGGAGACGAGGGAACUGGGUUCGACUGCAGGUGCUUCGUCGACGGCGGGGCGGAACGAGCUCGCCGGGCGCAUCGACCACAUCGAUUUCACUGGGUUUGACUGCAGGUGCUUCGUCAACGGCGGGGCAGAACGAGCUCGCCGGGCGCAUCGACCACAUCGAUUUCACGUAGGCAUCCAUGAAUACAAUUGAGCAAGAAGAAGCAGCUGGAGUGCCCAAAGAUGCUGAAAAUGGGGAUUCAGUGCCUCGUCGUAGGAGGUACGGUGCACCAGUUCGGCAACUUUCAAUUGCACAACCUGAGGGACAACAGCUGGUGUUGACAACAUGUCAAGUACCGCGCAAGCAUCAGUUUUAAUGGCUCGCUAGUUUCUAAAGUGGGGAGGUAUGACUACUGGAAGCAUGUCUCUCCAAACAAAGCAAUUUGUGUGUAAAUCUAGUUUUUGAAGUGGGGAGGUACAACAAAUAUGUCAAGUCUAGUACAAGCAUCAGUUCUGAUGGGGGCUUUCAAAACUUGAUUGUUGCUUUUGGUUGUUUGUAGUUAACAAGUUUUGAGCAUUAUCAUAUGCUUAUUUUCUCUACAGAUUAUUUGAUUUGCCUAUAUGUGUGCCCGCACUCUCAGCAAGAUACAACUAUUGGAAGCA